UACGUAGGGUGCAAGCGUUAUCCGGAAUUAUUGGGCGUAAAGAGCUCGUAGGCGGUUUGUCGCGUCUGCUGUGAAAACCGGAGGCUCAACCUCCGGCCUGCAGUGGGUACGGGCAAACUAGAGUGCGGUAGGGGAGAUUGGAAUUCCUGGUGUAGCGGUGGAAUGCGCAGAUAUCGAGAGGAACACCUGCGGCGAAGGCGGGUUGCUGGGCUGACACUGACGCUGAGGCGCGAAAGCUAGGGGAGCGAACGGG
rnacentral:rRNA from 1 species